rnacentral:rRNA from 1 species
UAUGUGCCUGAAAUUAUUGGAUGGAAAGGAGAAAAAGCUGGGGAUCGAAAGAAAGAAAAGAUACUGAAACCCAUCGAUCUUGACUCACUGAAUCCGGCAAGCCAGGAUGAAGAAAAACAGGUGAUGCACUUGAAGCUUAUGGGAUGGCGACAUCCCUCUCUUGUUUUAAACAAGUUGUGUAACGCUCGAUGCCUUGUGUUGGGUGCUGGAGCUCUUGGCUGUGAAGUUUCCCGCUUACUCAUGACCUCUGGUGUACGGAAACUAACAGUGGUUGAUGGUGGUUGUGUUGCCAUUCCUGAUGUAGUCAAACAAUCACUCUACGUAGGUAAUGAUUGUGGUGUCCCAAGAGCCACUGCGAUAGUUCCACAUCUAAAAGAGAGAUGUCCUGCAGUGGAGGUUGAAGGCAUCCAGAUGGAAAUACCAAUCCCUGGGAACCCGGUUUCUCCAACCAAAAUGUCAAGUGUGUUUGAUAAUUGCAAGCGUCUUCAAGCAUUAGUAGCUUCCAGUAAUGUGGUCUUCUUGUUGACUGACACAUGGGAGAGUAGAUGGUUUCCAACUCUACUGUGUGCAAAUGAAAAUAAGAUCGCUAUCACUGCAGCAUUAGGAUACGACAGUUACCUUGUCAUGCGGCAUGGUGCUGGCCGAGGACCAAGAAGUGGAGUUAUGGGUGACGUGAUUGCUCAGAUGCAGAAUUUAUCUACCGAAGAUGCUCUUGGUCACCAAAGAUUAGGUUGUUGUUUCUGCAACAACACGACUUCUUUUGUCAAUUUAGUCUGUAAUGAAACAGUAGCCCUGCCUGGGCUUAUCUCGAUUGCAUCUGGCAAAGCAGUGGAGCUCUUUGCGAGGAUAUUACAUCAUGAAGAGGGGAUACAUGCUCCAGGAGAUAUUGCUGGUAUGGACACUGAACAUCCGCUUGGUUUAUUGCCGCAUCAGAUGCAAGUACCACUCCCAGAGUGUGCUUUAUCAACUGUGAUAGGCAAUUCCUCAAACGAUUGUGCUGCAUGUUCUAAUGGUGUAAUUUCUGAAUAUAGAAGAGAAGGAUUGGAUUUUAUUAUGAAAGCAAUCAACCAACCAACAUAUUUGAAGGACCUUACAGGUGUUUCUAAUAAUUUGAUUAAGCCGGACACUUGUUUGGCAUUGCCUGCCAGCUUCCCUGUAAAUUCUGGGAAGUUGUCUAGUGUCCGAUGUCUAAUUUUAGGUGCUGGAACUCUUGGGUGUGACGUAGCUCGCAUUCUUAUGGAUUAUGGUGUUCGGAAGCUGACAGUGGUUGACAGUGGUCGUGUUGGUGUGUCAAAUUUGGCAAGGCAAUCACUUUACACAUAUGGUGACCGUGAUGUCCCGAAAGCAACAGCGAUAUGCAGGAAUCUAAAAGAGAGGUGUUCGUCAGUGGAGGCUGAAGGAGUUCAAAUGGAAAUACCGAUGCCAGGGCAUCCAGUAUCAUCUAAAGAAGCAGCUGGUGUGCUUGAUAAUUGCAAGCGUCUCCAGAAGUUAGUAGCGACCCAUGAUGCUGUGUUCUUGUUGACUGACACAAGGGAAAGUAGGUGGCUUCCAACGCUUCUCUGUGCAAAUGAAAACAAGAUUGCUAUUACUGCAGCCCUAGGAUUUGAUAGCUACCUUGCCAUGCGACAUGGAGCUGGUCCAGGAACAAAUUCUGAAAGUCCAAAUGUGUCUGCUGCGACGACUAAGCUGUCUGCAGAAGAUGUUCUUGGCCGUCAAAGACUGGGCUGUUACUUCUGCAACGACGUUAUUGCUCCAGUUGAUUCGGUCUCCAACCGAACACCGGACCAACAGUGCACAGUAACACGACCUGGACUGGCCUCCAUUGCAUCUGGCCAUGCUACAGAGCUCUUCACAAGAAUCUUAAAUCAUCCAGAUGGGAUACAUGCGCCAGGAGAUACUGCUGGCGCGACCAGUGAGUGUCCGUUUGGUCUGUUGCCGCACCAGAUACGGGGAUCAAUAUCGCAGUACAACUCAUUAACCCUCUUGGGCUAUGCCUCAAGCAGAUGUGUUGCAUGUUCUAACGCGGUAUUGUCUGAAUACAGGAGUAGAGGGCUGGAUUUUGUGAUGCAGGCGAUCAAUGAACCAACCUAUCUAGAAGACCUCACCGGCCUGACGGACUUGCUGAAAUGCACGGAUUAUUCUCAGGUCGAGUGGGUAGAUGAAGUCAAAGAUGGCGGGUUCGCUGACAUCUGA